UAGCUAUUACAACAAUUACAAGAAAAAAAAAAUCUUGAUUACAUACUCAAUAAGGCCAAAAAAUCAAAAAUAGAAUUGCUAAAUAAGGAGAAACCAAAAAUGGAUAUGCAGGCUAAAUAUGAAUAUAUGUUGACUUGCUAAACAUAGAGAGAAAACAAAUAAGAGUAUAUGCCAAAAGUAGAGCGAUGAGGUGGAAUAAAUAUAUGCUGACACACCCCUCA
rnacentral:lncRNA from 1 species